rnacentral:rRNA from 1 species
AUUGAACGCUGGCGGCAGGCCUAACACAUGCAAGUCGAACGAGUGGCGGACGGGUGAGUAAUGUCUGGGAAACUGCCCGAUGGAGGGGGAUAACUACUGGAAACGGUAGCUAAUACCGCAUACCAUCGGAUGUGCCCAGAUGGGAUUAGCUAGUAGGUGGGGUAACGGCUCACCUAGGCGACGAUCCCUAGCUGGUCUGAAAGGAUGACCAGCCACACGGGAACUGAGACACGGUCUAGACUCCUACGGGAGGCAGCAGUGGUGAAUAUUGCACAAUGGGCGCAAGCCUUAUGCAGCAAUGCCGCGUGUAUGAAGAAGGAUUUCGGGUUGUAAAGUACUUUAAGCGAGGAGGCGUUACUAGCAGAAGAAGCACCGGCUAACUCCGUGCCAGCAGCCGCGGUAAUUC